rnacentral:SRP_RNA from 1 species
GUGUGCUGGGCGGGGAGUCAGCGGUUCCCUGUAACCGACAUUCCGCUAUAGUCGGGCUGAACCCUGCAUGAGAAAAUCGAGAAUGAUUCUUUUUCGGCGAAUUGAUGUUGAGAAGCAUUCCUUGCGCAAUCGUAAUCCGCGAACCUUGUCAGGUCCGGAAGGAAGCAGCAAUAAGAGGUAAUUGCGAUGUGCCGCGAGUGUUCUGCUUUGAGUCGAUUUUCCGGAAGCCGGGAUUGUUCAGGUUUCGAGUGCAGGCGCACAC